GCGCUUUUAGUUCAAUUCGGUAGAAUGUGGGUCUCCAAAACCCGAUGUCGUAAGUCCAAAACUUACGGAGCGUG